AUAUGGGAAUUUUAUUAAAUGGGGAAGUCGCGCUGACUUAGAGUAUGAUUCAGAUGAUAACGCUAAGCGAUUUCCUACCAUUGAGAACGCAGAAGAAAGGAGGCAAAUAGAGAACCGAAACCGCUUUAGGAAGAGAAGAUAACUUAUUUUUUUAGCGCCAUUCUACUUUUUAUAUAAUUGGAUAUCUCUUUCGAUCUAUCGACUUUUACCGCAACGAACAAACCGUAUGUUCUCAACUAAUAUGAUUUGACCUUUCCUAGCAAGUACACUCGCACCGAGCCUUUUUCUCUUUGGCUUGGUAGUUUUUUUCACCUUGCGAAAUAGAACUACCACAAAAUUCCAUGUUUCAUUAGCCAGGGUUUCAUGGACUGUACUGGGAAACAAGCAUUUUUCUUGCGCAGGUAUCUCCAACACGGAUAUAUCAAUGAAUUGUUGGUCGUGUUGCGCAUAUACUAACAAUUCAUUCUUGCAUAGUUGGAUUUUCGUAACUUUGUAUAAUCCUGGAAAGAAUGAAGACAAAAGAUCAUUUCUAUUUAUCAAAUAGUCAGGCUUCACAACAUCAAUAGUAUUAAUUUUAUGCGAACUCUCUUUAUCAUUUUGUGAUCUCAACAAAGUGGUUUUCUCAGGUUCGCAAUAAUAGCAAUCGAAUGUUAAACACCUGCCUAUUUCUAUCGUAAAUCGACGGGUGUGCCGCAUUUGUACAAUAACUAGGACCUUAGUGGGCUACUGUGUUGAAUCGUGGACGCCUAAGCCUCCUUUAUUCCAGACCUAGCGAUGCUCGCAUUCCAGAUAUAAUGAAUUAAAUAUAACCUAUAAAUUUUGAACUAAUCGAGUGCAGGGGGCGCUCUAACAACUAUUCUCUUCUGUUGUGCUACUCCUACACAGUUUCCCACUACUCUUCCUCCGUUUCUCAUAUUGAUGCUAUUACAAUUCACAUUAUUUCCUGGUACCAGGUCGCCAUUAAUGUUUCUCUUCACAUUCAUACCGUAUUCCUUAAUAUCUUCAGAAUUUAUCCCAUUUAGAAUCAUUAGAACCUCGUAAGAAGAUGGUCUUUUGAAUGGCUUUCUUUCGAAACACUUGGAGAGUAAAUUAGAUAUAGAGGGGUGGAACCAUGACGGAAUUUUUGGUUUCUUCUUCUCAACUAUAAUUGCAUUAAUUACUUCCUCAUUUGAAGAGUAUUCAUAAAAAGGUAUGGGGCCGCCAAAAAUUUCCAAUAAGCAACAAGCAAUAGCCCAAAUAUCCGACUUUUCAUCUAUAGACCUUCCAAUGUAAAAACACUCAGGUGCCAUAUACCUAGGCGAUCCACCAUUUUCAUCCAGAACAACACCAGGUGGGCUAGUCUUAGUUGCAAUAUUCAUCGUUCUAGUUUGCCCAAAAUCACACAAUUUAACAUUAUUCGAACGAUCUAGAAUAAUAUUCGCUGUCUUUAUAUCUCUAUGAACCAUAUUGUUGUGAUGAAUAAAGUUAACUGCAUCGCAAAGCUGCCUUGAAAUUUUUAACCUAUCCGAGGCAGAUACUACAACUUUAUUUUCAUAUAAUAAUUCAAAAAGAUUUCCAUUUGUGAGAUACUCUGUGAUUAUUGCGUAGAAUCCAGGUUCUAAGCAAACUCCGAUAUAAGAACAAAUAUUCGGAUGGCGUAGUA
rnacentral:antisense_RNA from 1 species